UUAACUAAUUUUAAAGUUAGACUCUUCCUGAAAAGCACCGUUUCAGUAAAUGAGGAUAAAAUAAAUAAAAAAAUAAUAAAUAAAAAAAAUAAAGAAAGAGAGAAACUCGGUUUGUUUGAGAAGGAAGGAGCAUGUGGGUAAAAUACCCUAUUCUUCUCUAUUGUUGAAAACAGAAAGUGGGACUCCAUCCUCUGUUCCUCAACUUCUCAUUCCAGCACCUUCCUCCCUCUUUGAUUUCACUCUCCAUUUUCGUUCCAUCAUCUUUUCACUCUUCACUCAAGCUUUUAUUUCACUGUAUUUGGAACUUUGAAAGUGGGUAUUUGAGACUCUUCUCAUCUCUUGGGUAGUGCUAUUUAGAGAUUCAUUGAGAUUCACGGGGUGACGAUUCUCUUGGUCCAACGGAGGGCACGGGAAGAGAUUGAGCUAGCUCUUCAUAGUUAUUCACAAGCAGCUGAGUAACAGAUUUCUGGGCUUUGCUGUUGUUUUGGUAUGCCUCCAUUGUGCGGUGGCUAGUAUAUUCUUUUUGGUCGACUCCAGUAUGAUGCAGCCAUAGGGAUAGAGAGUCGUUUACUUACUUUGAGUUGUAAUUAUUAAACUCACUAUGUUAGCACUUUGUUGGGUUUGCACUCUUAAAACCCUAUGACAGAAGCACUAUGUUGAAGGGUUUGUGGCGGCUAAAGAGCAAGUAAGUGUCGUCGAUCCUGACUUUGACCUUUCACGAAUUGGAUUUCUGAAGAAGAUUCAAGAUGGCCAAGUUAUUGGCCAUGAUGACAUCGAUCUUGACCUUCUUCCAAAGUUUGAUUCUGAGAGCGAGUUAGGAAGACGAUGAGGAUGGUGAUGAUGAUGGGCGGGAUCCCAAUGCAUCUUUGAACAAGGAGACGGCCAAUGAUGACCAGACCCCUGCCUGAUUUAUUUUUGUGAAAUGUCUUUUGGUAAUUGGGCCCUGCCCGUCCUUGAACGGACCUUUAUUUUCAUCAUAGUAGAUCCUAAAUCAUACAACUAA